GACACAAUAGCUUAAUUGGUAGAGCUUUUGACUGUUAAUCAAAAGGUUCUAGGUUCGAAUCCUAGUUGUGUCG
rnacentral:tRNA from 1 species